GCCUACAGGGAAGCAGCCCAGCUUCUCCUCUCCUCGUCUCGUCUCUCUACCUCCAUGGCCGCCGCCUCCACCCCAGCCGCACUCCAUCUUCCUGGCCAGAUCCGCCGCCCUCCUCCACAAAUAACUCGUUCUAGCGCCGCCCGCCUCCGACCUCCACUACCGCCCAUAUCUCAUCUCGUCCACAUGCGUCCGCCACGCCCAUCCGUCUCCCGUAUCCCGUCCUGACAUCCUCUACCGCCGUUCUGCCUUCACUAGCGUCCGCCGCCGCAUCCCACCUCCCUCGGCUCACACCCUCCACCGCACUCAAAUAGGGUCGUCCGCUACGCGUUGCCGGCGCCUCGUGCUUCCUACUGCAGACCUGGGGAGUCUGGUCGCAAAUCCAGCAAACCGGCGCCUCCUCUUCCGAUGUGACAGCAGCAGUCUCCUCCUCCUCCUUUUCUCCAAGACCGUGGAACUCUCUGAGAAUUAAGAAACUCUCUUGGUCGCUCGGAACUCUGCACCUCUUCUCUACCGUACAGCUUGUCCAUAGUGAGAGAAACCUUAAGAUCCAAGUGAAGAAAAGAAAGGUACAUGCUUUCUGAACUGAUUUCUCGCAUACAAAUGUCAGUGCUAGUGUUUAUAUUGGCUUGAUAGUGUAUUGUAUUUGACCCAGGCUUACGCUACAACAUGUAGCUUGGUCACUUGCUUUUUCUGUGUUCUUUCUCCUAUUGCAUCAAUGAAUAGCCGGCAAUUUUUCUCGGUUCACUGGUGAUGAGGUCUGGAUAUUUUCUCAGUGUUGGGAUGACCGCCUCACUUCACUACACCAGAUUCCAUUGCAAGGCUGAUGGUAACUCAAUUGGUAAUGGUAUCAUCUCCCAAAGUACCAAAUGUUCAUGGAAUAUACUUUGGACCUGAGAAGGCCACCAUAAUAAACACAUAGCUGUGAUGAAAUCGGGUAUGAAAGACCUCGACGAAAGUGGCAAUAAUGGUGCAAUCAGUAGCCAGAAAGCACAAAAGCGCCUUGUAAACACGGAUUCAUCUCAUGUUAGUUCAGAGGAUGGCCCUAUCGACCAUGAUGUCGGCCAUUGCAACAAUGAAAGCGGCAAUGAUGAGGAGAACAUUGGUGGUAAAGAUAACAAUUGUGGCUUCAAUCCUGAUGGUGUCUCCCGAGGAGGAUCUCACUAGUCACUUGCAUGGCAAUUGAUGAUUAAUGGUCUUUAUGGUAUUUUGGAUAUGUGUGUAGUAGUACCAUAUGCUCCGGGCCAAACUUAGCAGCUUAUCCUUUUGUUGCUUUCACUUUUCUAAAGUGAUGUCCCAGAUCAUUAACCUAGGAGGCUUUCUAUCCAUGUAGUUUGAUAUCACUGCAGUGUUUUGUGCACUGUGAUGGAUAUGAUAAUUAGAGUGUUGGUGGCCAGUAUGUAUGUAGCACUGUUGUAUGCAACUCUUGGUCAAGUCUAUAUAUGGACUCAACUUUAUGUGA